AAAAGAAUAAUUUAAUAAAAAAUAUUAGGCUUCAAACUUAAAUAUAAGUUUCGACUUUUCUUUUG
rnacentral:tRNA from 1 species